UACGAAGGGGGCUAGCGUUGCUCGGAAUCACUGGGCGUAAAGGGUGCGUAGGUGGGUUGGUAAGUCAGUGGUGAAAUCCCCGAGCUUAACUUGGGAACUGCCAUUGAUACUAUCAGUCUUGAAUACCGUGGAGGUCAGUGGAAUAUGUCAUGUAGCGGUGAAAUGCUUAGAUAUGACAUAGAACACCAAUUGCGAAGGCAGCUGGCUACACGAAUAUUGACACUGAGGCACGAAAGCGUGGGGAUCAAACAGG
rnacentral:rRNA from 1 species